ACGAUUGGGCGAAAUAAAAUAAACUCGUCUGCCUUUUCCCCAAAUUCUUUAUUUUGACAAAUCUAUCUCCACGUGAGAUCAUUGCGAACUUUGCUUUAUCUCAUCGUAUUUUACAUGAUACAAUUCGCAGCCGAUGUCCGUGUUAUCAGUCCCAGCCCAUCCUUUGUUCUAGCUUAGCAAACGAUGUAUUCCAUAUCGCAUUUCCGUCCAAUUUCGCUCUUCCUCUGUGUGGAAAUUUCGCUCGGGUUUGUAAUCACUUCCCAAUCGACUGAAGACCUCUUCCCCGUGCAAACGCCCAACCGGGCAAACCCUCAAACUUUUUUCAAAAAUUCCGAACUGAUGUGGUGUCCCGACGGCUAUAACUUCGACCCAAAACUGCUAUUUUGCGCAAAACUGGAACCCACCACAAUCUUUGAAGAUCUCAAGCCCAAUCCACACAACUGUAGCACAUUCUUUAAUUGUAAUGGCAUUUUUUGCCACCUUAUGAACUGUUCUGACCACCUUAUUUUCAACAACGCCCGAAAAGUGUGUGAUUAUCCGCAAGAAGCAAACUGCUGUGAAUUCGAGGCAAAAAACCCCGACGUGCUGAUCCCGCCGGAAUUUGCGCAACAACAAACUUAUUCUCAGUGAAGUGAUUUAUUGUAUCUGGUGCCUGAUAAAAGUAAAAACAACGUGCAAAAGUGA